rnacentral:rRNA from 1 species
UACGUAGGGGGCAAGCGUUGUCCGGAUUUAUUGGGCGUAAAGAGCGUGUAGGCGGUCAGAUAGGUCCGUUGUGAAAACUCGAGGCUCAACCUCGAGACGCCGAUGGAAACCAUCUGACUAGAGUCCGGAAGAGGAGAGUGGAAUUCCUGGUGUAGCGGUGAAAUGCGCAGAUAUCAGGAAGACACCCGUGGCUAAGGCGGCUCUCUAGUACGGUACUGACGCUGAGACGCGAAAGCGUGGGGAGCGAACAGG